CCUACGGGAGGCAGCAGUGGGGGAUAUUGCACAAUGGGGGAAACCCUGAUGCAGCGACGCCGCGUGUGGGAAGACGGUCCUCUGGAUUGUAAACCACUGUCCCCAGGGACGAAGAUGACGGUACCUGGGGAGGAAGCUCCGGCUAACUACGUGCCAGCAGCCGCGGUCAGACGUAGGGAGCGCGCGUUGUCCGGAAUUACUGGGUGUAAGGGGAGCGUAGGCGGGACUGCAAGGUGGGGGUCAAAUCUACCGGCUCAACCGGUAGCCGCACUCAAAACUGCAGUUCUUGAGUGAAGUAGAGGCAGGCGGAAUUCCUAGUGUAGCGGUGAAAUGCGUAGAUAUUAGGAGGAACACCAGUGGCGAAGGCGGCCUGCUGGGCUUUUACUGACGCUGAGGCUCGAAAGUGUGGGGAGCAAACAGGAUUAGAUACCCGAGUAGUC
rnacentral:rRNA from 1 species